CUCUACGGCCACACUACCCUGAACACACUUGAUCUUGUCUGAUUUUAGAACCUAAGGAGGGGUGGGCUGGUUAGCAAUUGGAUAGGAGAGGUUAACUUGCUUAUUGCACUGAAGAAA
rnacentral:rRNA from 1 species